UUUGAUCGACCCCAGCCACAGCGGCUGCUUCCCGGGCUCGCGGCGCCCCUGCCCGUAGGUCGCCAGCAACGCUUGCGCCUC
rnacentral:antisense_RNA from 1 species